CACCCAUUAUUAAAAAAUAAAUCCUCUUCAUACCUACAUGAAGAUUGUUUUCCUUUUUCUACUUGAGCCAUCUUCCCUUCAAUAUACCUUCACCUUUUUGUGAAGCCAUUAGAUCGAUUUUAGAGUGAGGAUGAGAAUUUAGAGUUGGAAUAGAUUGCCAACAGGGGAAGAGCUUUCUCGGAUAUAUAGGGAGCAAGGUGUGAUCAACUGAAAUUUAAAAAUAUUAAAAUUGUGGGCC
rnacentral:lncRNA from 1 species